AGUCGAGCGCCCCGCAAGGGGAGCGGCAGACGGGUGAGUAACGCGUGGGAAUCUACCUUUUGCUACGGAAUAACUCAGGGAAACUUGUGCUAAUACCGUAUGUGCCCUUCGGGGGAAAGAUUUAUCGGCAAAGGAUGAGCCCGCGUUGGAUUAGCUAGUUGGUGAGGUAAAGGCUCACCAAGGCGACGAUCCAUAGCUGGUCUGAGAGGAUGAUCAGCCACACUGGGACUGAGACACGGCCCAGACUCCUACGGGAGGCAGCAGUGGGGAAUAUUGGACAAUGGGCGCAAGCCUGAUCCAGCCAUGCCGCGUGAGUGAUGAAGGUCUUAGGAUUGUAAAGCUCUUUCACCGGUGAAGAUAAUGACGGUAACCGGAGAAGAAGCCCCGGCUAACUUCGUGCCAGCAGCCGCGGUAAUACGAAGGGGGCUAGCGUUGUUCGGAUUUACUGGGCGUAAAGCGCACGUAGGCGGACUUUUAAGUCAGGGGUGAAAUCCCGGGGCUCAACCCCGGAACUGCCUUUGAUACUGGAAGUCUUGAGUAUGGUAGAGGUGAGUGGAAUUCCGAGUGUAGAGGUGAAAUUCGUAGAUAUUCGGAGGAACACCAGUGGCGAAGGCGGCUCACUGGACCAUUACUGACGCUGAGGUGCGAAAGCGUGGGGAG
rnacentral:rRNA from 1 species